GUGAGUGUAUCUGAGUGGUAGAGCACAUGCUUGGUACGCAUGAGGUCGUGGGUUCAAUUCCUAGUACUUCCA
rnacentral:tRNA from 1 species